GCAGACCUGGCUGACCUGCCAGACCUGGCAGACCUGGCAGACCUGGCCACUGGCAGACCUGGCUGACCUGGCAGACCUGGCCACUGGCCAGCGAUUGUCGUUUUGAAAUGGGAGUCUUGGAUAUGGUGUCAAUGUCGAUGUAAAGUCAUGUUUUACAUUGGUGAAGUCUUGUCUCUCUGUGAAACUUCCAAAUAGCAUUUCCUAAUCAAUGAAUAGAUGGAAACCUUGUGGUAAUAUAGAUACCUAAUUAGUCUGUAAUUGCGGUAUACGUAAUGAUUCUAAUGUUUAAUCAUGUCCUCUCAUUUCCUAAACUAUUUUGGGGGGAAUAUUUCAUGUUAUCAAUAUAAAUCAAUUGAUAUUUCUUAAAGAAUUUGACAUCACUAUGUGUAUUUUACUGUAUGCUUUGAAGUAGCACGACAAUGUGUCAUGAUGAUAUGAGAUGGAACAGGCAGCUAUAGAACAACCUCUUUAUUAUACUGUGUCUCUGUCUGUCUGUCUGUCUGUCUGUCUGUCUGUCUGUCUGUCUGUCUGUCUGUCUGUCUGUCUGUCUGUCUGUCUGUCUGUCUGUCUGUCUGUCUGUCUGUCUGUCUGUCUGUCUGUCUGUCUGUCUGUCUGUCUGUCUGUCUGUCUGUCUGUCUGUCUGUCUGUCUGUCUGUCUGUCUGUCAACAUGUGUACUGACAGUCUUGACUGAUGGCAUUUAUACAGUGUCAGCCUUGCCAAUUUGUCACCCAGAAAUGAACGGAGAUUCAAAAAAGUGAAUAUAAAUGUGAUAUUGUUUAGAUCAAACAUGAUGAGACAAUCUGCUCCAAGGUGCUAUGAAGGAAUGUGUAGCUGUGGAAUCAGAUGGGUGUGGUGUUGAUAUGCGUAAUCAGAUGGGUGUGGUGUUGAUAUGCGUAAUCAGAUGGGUGUGGUGUUGAUAUGCGUAAUCAGAUGGGUGUGGCGUUGAUAUGCGAGGUGUUUGACAUCCUAUUGCCGGAACUCUGGAUUUAAAAAACAAAACAAAAAAAACACUGCUAUUAAUACCUAACAGAAGACCCUUAUGUGGAUGAGAGAAAUAUAGGUCACUGUGCAACCAAUAGAACAGGGUUGAGAGAAUGCAGGAAUUACAGACAGAUCGGAGAAUAAAUCACAAUCGUACACUUGUCAUCCCAAAAUGUAGGUUUCUGUUUCUCCUUAUUGAUCUUCUCAUACAGUGAAAAACACCAAAAUGAUGUUUGAUAAAAAGUACCCAAAUACAUAUUGGUAAUGACUGCAGUCUGCAGAGAAGACACUAUUGUACAGUUACGCAACAUCAGCCGCCAUCUUGUAUUUACUGUGUUACAAAAAGUAGUCCCUUUAGUUUCCAGUGCCUCGGCCUCUGGUCAUUAAAAUAGAUCUUGGCUGUGAUAUAAUUCAUUCAACCUAAUGGUGAUCUGUGACAUUUCCUGUUCCUGUUUGUCCUUCACUUUCUUUUUUCCUGAUGGGGAAAAAAAAGAGUGAGCUGAAUAUAGCCUGAGUUCCAGUCUGUAUGUGCCAUCACGCCAGCUCCUUGUUACUCAGCCUCAAUGCACGCCAAACUGUUUGUGUUGUAUGGAGUUGGCUAGAACACCAACUGAUCUGAGACCAGGCUAUGAUGAAGAUGCAGGUAGGUGAUGAAUAGGAAUGAAAAAAAAACACUUAAGAAAGAAAAUGUGCCUUUUUGAGUGCAGUGUGAAGUGAACAGGAUUGUUGAUGGGUUCCUUCAUGAAGUGUUGUGGAAUAAAAGGAAAUUAUAUUUUAUCAUAUAAAGUCAAAUUAGGAUAUUUAUAUUGAGGGAUUUAAAAUGAGGAGUCCUUCUACCUAGCCUUAUGUUGGCUGAUGGGACUGAGGUGUCCUUCUACCUAGCCUUAUGUUGGCUGAUGGAACUGAGGUGUCCUUCUACCUAGCCUUAUGUUGGCUGAUGGGACUGAGGUGUCCUUCUACCUAGCCUUAUGUUGGCUGAUUGAACCAGGGUUCCUUCUACCUAGCCUUAUGUUGGCUGAUGGGACUGAGGUGUCCUUCUACCUAGCCUUAUGUUGGCUGUUGGGACUGAGGUGUCCUUCUACCUAGCCUUAUGUUGGCUGAUGGGACUGAGGUGUCCUUCUACCUAGCCUUAUGUUGGCUGAUGGGACUGAGGUGUCCUUCUACCUAGCCUUAUGCUGGCUGAUUGAACUGAGGUGACCUUCUACCUAGCCUUAUGUUGGCUGAUGGGACUGAGGUGUCCUUCUACCUAGCCUUAUGUUGGCUGAUGGGACUGAGGUGUCCUUCUACCUAGCCUUAUGUUGGCUGAUUGAACCAGGGUUCCUUCUACCUAGCCUUAUGUUGGCUGAUGGGACUGAGGUGUCCUUCUACCUAGCCUUAUGUUGGCUGAUGGAACUGAGGUGUCCUUCUACCUAGCCUUAUGUUGGCUGUUGGGACUGUGGUGUCCUUCUACCUAGCCUUAUGUUGGCUGAUGGGACU
ensembl:lncRNA